GAGCGUGCCAAAGAGGCGCCAGGGUCGGCAGCGUCUUCCAGAGGGUCUGCAGCAGCUCAGCAGAUGAGUAGGAAAAAAGAGAGGCCGGAGGGAGAACAUGGGAUGUGUAUACUGUGUGCGGUUGGGAGGAGGAAUCGAGUAUUUGCUUCAUAGGACAUGCAAGUGGGAAGUAACCUUCCUUCUCCCAGCAUGUUCCUCACUGUUUUUCUCAUUUAUGAGAUUUGUCCUUUUUCGGAAACAAAGACAAAGACUCUUUAGUUUGUCGCCCAACAAGCUUUUUGAGUACUGCAGUGCGUUGUAUUUCUAUAUACUUACUCUGUGCGGCUCUUGUAAGAAUGAUUAAAACAUUGAGCAUCAUUCUUUGGUUAGAGUAGUUUGCCUAUACCUAAUUUAUGUGCAGGAUAAAUGCUCUGCUCCUUUUCUCAGGUCGUAGAAUAAAACGAUGUGUGCUUGGACAUCAUCCAUGAAGUUAAGCUACUGUAGGACAAGGUUCAGUUUUAGAGGUGGGGCCUCGAAUUUGGUGACCUCCCCUCUGAGGUCCCUAGGGUUCUGAUGAAUGGGAGAUGGACUGUUCUUGUUCCAUCUUAUCCCUGCUCUGCCCAGGAGUAAAGUUUUCCUUUGGUUUGCAGUUGAAAGGGAAACAAGGGUUGUAUUCAGUACUGCUUCUAAGUCUUUAAUUGGAAUGUCAAGCUCACACUUCAAAUAGGCUGAUUCGUUAAAAUUAAAGAUGUAGAGUAAAUUUCGGCAAAGCCAAUCUGUCUUUGCUAUUAGCUUCUUUUAUAUAAUCUUUCAUGCACUCGACUGAAAAAUAAAAUACUGAACAUUUAUGCAGUUAGAUGUCAGUACACCUUUUGGGGAGUAAUGACUGGGAAGGGGCACGAGGAAAUCUGGGUACAACAAAUCAUUUUUUGAUUUGGUUUAUGACAUUUCAUUGAAGUAAAUGUUAUCAUGUAUGUUUAUAUCUAUAUGUAAAUUGUAUUAUUUUCCCCUCUUUCUGGCUGCCCUGAGGCAUAUGGAGUUCCCAGGCCAGGGAUCAGAUCCAAGCCACACUUGUGACCUGUGCCGAAGCUGCAGUAGUGCUAGAUCCUUUAACCCGCUGUGCCAAGCCGGGGAUCGAACCUGUGUUCUGGUGCUACAGAGAUAACCACUGAUCCCAUUGGGCCACAGUGGGGACUCCUAUAUCUAUAUGUCAAAAAAAGUUAAAAAAAUUGAUUAAGGCAUUCUCUGGUAGUGUAGUAGGUUAAAGAUCCAUUCUGGCCAUUGCUGUGGCUCAGGGCACUGCCCUGGUGCAGGUUUGAUCCCUGGCCCAGGAAUUUCCAAAUGCUGCUGCUGGCAAAGCCAAAGGGGGAAAAAAAUUAAGAGUAAGGUAACAGAAUUCAAUUACAAUGGGGAACGUUUUUGAAAAACUCUUUAAAAGUCUCUUUGGGAAAAAAGAGAUGCGGAUUCUGAUGGUGGGUUUGGAUGCCGCUGGGAAAACCACCAUCUUAUAUAAGUUGAAGCUGGGAGAGAUUGUGACGACCAUCCCUACAAUCGGUUUCAAUGUGGAGACGGUGGAAUAUAAAAACAUCAGCUUCACAGUCUGGGAUGUCGGUGGCCAAGACAAAAUCAGACCUUUAUGGCGACAUUAUUUCCAGAACACACAAGGUCUGAUUUUUGUGGUCGACAGUAACGAUAGAGAGCGGGUCAAUGAAGCCCGAGAAGAACUAACCAGAAUGUUAGCUGAAGAUGAGCUCAGAGAUGCAGUUUUAUUGGUGUUUGUAAAUAAACAGGAUCUUCCCAAUGCUAUGAAUGCAGCAGAGAUAACAGACAAGCUCGGCUUACACUCCCUCCGCCAGAGGAACUGGUACAUUCAGGCUACUUGUGCCACCAGUGGAGAUGGGCUUUACGAAGGCCUGGACUGGCUCUCCAACCAGCUCAAAAACCAGAAGUGACGGGAAGCGCUCCGUUCCCUGUGCAUCAUGGCCAAAGCAGCUGGCCUCUCUGUGUGCGUGUGUGCGUGUGAGGAGCCGAGUGUGGGCGUGUGGCCGGGCGUGGGAGCAGCUUUCUCACAUGGUGCCUUAUACAUGUGCUAGGGAAACCAGUCUUACAUGUUAUGAACAACGAGUGUUACAUUUUAAAUGCUACCUUCCAUUUUAAUGGCUGUGAUGGCCAGUUUGGCAGUGGAUGCAGGGGUCCAGGGGGCUCCGUGCACAACAACCAGAGUGGCCUCGAGAUGGGAAGAAGGCGGAGGGUGGGCGGGGGACCGAGUUCGUUUGUGCCGUCCUGGGUCUGGCGUCUCUGCCCACCUGGGGUCCGCUCAGACUUUGGCAUCCUUUUCCCAUCACUGCCAGAGCUAGCAGCUCGCCUUUCAGUGCUUUGAAGCAAAUGGUCCUCAAGAGAAAAAGGCUCUUGCUUCCUGCAGGUAAGAAGUUCAGAUUUGAACUUUUCCCUGAAGCGAUAUUCUAACCUGGAUUUCCUGGUUUAAUUGAAAGGAAUCGGUGGUCUUUUUCCAUGAGGGUAUCAGGACCUAGAAACUCUAGAAAAGCAUCCAGUCCUUUCCUUCUUUGCCUCUUAGUUGCCAAAUGGAGACCCUGGGGUCGUGACCCCAGCACGCAGCAAAGGCUCUUCCCCGGGCUCCACAGCCGCACGUGCAGGGUCCAGUUAAGGCAGGAGGUGCCGGUGGAGCCUGUGUUCCUGCAUCACCGCCCCGGGCUUCAGGCUCCUGAGACCGCUGCUCCCACGUGUCUGCUUUGUGCUGAAUGUUCUCCGCUCACAGCUGGACGUUCCCUCCUGGGGUGGAACUGUCACUGUGUACAGUGUCUCAGUCCAGCCUUCGGUUUGGAUGAGCUGCUGUUCCCAGAACCACACGCCUGUGAGUUCUGUGCGUCUGUCAGAGAAUCAGGUGGUCAACACCGGGGGGUGAAGCUCCCGGCAGCCCCUGGUGUGGUCCCCGAGGUGGUUGGUGCUAAAGUUCGCUAUGAAGAAUGUCUCGUCCAGACCACUCUCCGUAGCCCUGACUCCCUCGUCUGGCUGGGAGUAAUGUCUUCGGUGGAAAGAUGUCUUAGGUUGUCCUCAGAACAGUCGGAGAAAUGGCCCGGAAAUGAGCUCAGUCACUCGGUAUCUAGAGCACUUUUGCCCAGACAGCUGUUGGCCAAAUUUGCACCGAAGCUCUUCCACUACUACCUUUUAAAAUUCCUUAGCCAAGGAGGAAAAUGUUAGGUGAAUUUUAACAAAAGUAAACCAUGUUUAUUGACAGCAAUGAAGUAGCUAUAACUAGGAAGAACUUUCAUGCCAUGAUAAAUGUGGGAUGUAAUGUUUUUCUUUCAAAUAGUGACUUUAAAGAAUGCUCAUUGUACUCCUGGCUACAGAGUCCAGAUUUGAUUUUUACUCAUGGGGUUAAGUCCUGAGAAACAUUUAGACUGUACGCCUCAGACUGGCAGGACCUGUGUCUUAUACUUUUGUAUUUAUGCUCAAUACCGUGUGCCUGGUACAGCCCUAGGCCUGGGUGAACACGUGUUGAUUGGCUGGACAAUAAAGACCUUGCUUUGGACAGAG
rnacentral:lncRNA from 1 species